UACGUAGGGUGCGAGCGUUGUCCGGAAUUAUUGGGCGUAAAGGGCUCGUAGGCGGUUUGUCGCGUCGGGAGUGAAAUCCACUGGCUUAACCUCGGGUCUGCAGUCGAUACGAGCAAACUAGAGUGUUGCAGGGGAGACUGGAAUUCCUGGUGUAGCGGUGAAAUGCGCAGAUAUCAGGAGGAACACCGGUGGCGAAGGCGGGUCUCUGGGCAGUAACUGACGCUGAGGAGCGAAAGCGUGGGGAGCGAACAGG
rnacentral:rRNA from 1 species